CAGUUGUGGAUAUGUGGGAAAAAGAGAUGAUUUUGGAAAAUCUUUAUAGAUAUUGUUUAAUAUUUGAAACCGUUUAAUAUUUAAAACUAAACUAAUCAGUCAACUGAUUGUCAUCUAGAGCAACUUCCUUUGGUCUGAAAGCAUGUCUUCAAUCGGGAUUGGUGCUGGAAGUGUAUCUUUGAAGAGGCUAAAUCUCUUUAACUGAUGUGCAGUUGAUUGUUUGUUUGAGGGGAGCUCCUUUGAAGCAUCUGCAGUGGAGAAAAUAUUCCUUUAAAAAAAUGGAAACAAAUCUUUCCAAAGGAAGCUUGGAAGUCUGGUAAAUUUUAUGAGCCACUUUGCUAAAUAUACUAAAUAUAUAAAAAAUACUUUUAAGAAGACUAAGAUAAUAUCAAAACACAGAGUAUACUGUAAACAAUUGUUUUAUUUAUUUCCCCCAACAAUUAUGACAUUUAAGUUUAAAAAGCAGAUUCACUUUACAGAUAGGAAAAAAUGUAAAAUGCAGCGGCUACAAGCAAAAGCAGCGUUGAGUUGGAUGAGAGCCCUACAUAUAAAUAUUAUUUAAUUGAAAUCAGAAUUAAUUUAAAAUUGCCCAAACUUCCACUGCAAAAGGAACUUAAUUCACCUGGAAAUUAUAGGAACUACUUUCAGGUGUAAAUAUUAGAUUUUUGAAUUCAGUGAAUUAGUUAAUCUAAAUUAGUUCAUCGCAAGCCCUGCUCAUAUCUGAGAACUGAAAAGCCAGUUAAUGUAUGUAGUGCUUAACAAACAGUAUACUUUAUUGGCAAGUGCUGAAGUUAUGCAGUAACCAUUUCAGUAUAGUUAAUGCAGGAACUACACAUGAAUGAAAUAUAGGGUAAUUUCAAGAGAAUAUCUUGUUCUGUCAGCUGACUUCCAGCUUCUGAACACAAUGACUUGGAUCCGAAGAUCCACACAAUUAGUUCUGCAUGUCUCAGCAAACUUGGGGGUUAUUUUUCCUCAAAGAUCAGUCACCCUUUUCACAGCACUGGGUAAAUUACAUGAAGCUGAAGGGACUCUCGAAAGCUGUUUGAUAUGGCUGAGGAGUCUGCUACUAAAAAAGAGAGAGGUCAAAUAUAAUUCUGGAUGUGCCCAAGCUGUUUGACCUGCUUAAAGUAGUUAUUUGGAUAGAAUAGUAGAAUUGUAGAGUUGGAAGGGAUCCCAAGGGUCAUCUAGUCCAACCCCCUGCAAUGCAGGAAUCUCUACCAAAGCAUCCAUGCUAGAUGGCCACCCAACCUCUGCUUAAAAAACUCCAAGGAAGGAGAGUCCACCACCUCCCGAGGGAGACUGUUCCACUGUCAAACAGCUCUUAAUGUCAGAAAGUUUCCUUAUGUUUACCUGAAAUCUCCUUUCCUGCAACUUGAAGCCUUUGGUUUGAGUCCUACCUUCCAGAAAGGGGGAAAGCAAGCUUGCUCCAUUGUCCAUGUGACAGCCCUUCCGAUAUUUGAAGAUGGCUUUGAAGAUAUUUGAAGAUGGACUCAACUUAUGUUCUCACAUUUUGGUUUACUAUACACUUAGUACCAAAUCAGCCUAUUAGACAGUGCUAUAGUUGAAUGGUGAUAGUACAGAGCAUGUCAUAAUGCAGUGUGUCUCAAAAUUUGGUCCCCCGCAGUUGUUGGACUACAACUUCCAUCAUCCCUAGGGAUGAUAAGAGUUGUAGUCCAACAACAGCUGGAGUUUGAGAAAUAGUGACAUAACGUUCCCUUUGUGUUUUUUUCUGAACCAAAUUGUCAACGAUUCUAAGUAGUUAGCAGUGUAGUAAAAGGACAGGAUUAACAUGUAUGUAAACAGAAAAUUUAGCUUACGCUAGGGAUGAGGUAUGUCAUCUUUUUCACUUUGUAUGUUUAAGCAAACUGAUCUAAUUUGCAUUUCUCAAACAUGGAUUGGAAUGCAGUUUUCCUUCAGAAUUUUGAGGUACAACUACACUCAGCUCAAAAAAGUUCAAAAAUGCAUAAAGCAACUAUUUUGGAGUAAGAUAUGUCUAGAAAUUGAUAUAUUGAGAUGAUAGAUAUUUAAAUAUGACUGUUCAUGUGGACUUCAAAAUAUCAUUGCAGCUAAAUGCAGAAAAGGUACUGAACAGAUUUACGAUUGAGCAUAUGCAAAAUUGACAGAGACUGGAAAUAGACUGAUCCAGUCAUCCAUAUUUGCCCCUUGAGCUAGAGGAGGUGAACAGAAUUGGCAGUUAUAGAAUAUGUUGGAUGAGGGAAACAGAUGCUAGAAGUAAGAUUGUCUGUUAGGUUAAGAGUAGAAAAUACAGUCGUACCUUGGUUUUCAAACAGCUUAGUUCUCGAAUGUUUUGGCUCCUGCCAAAUGCUGCAAACCUGGAAGUGACUGUUCCAGUUUGUGAACUAUUUUUGAAAGCUGACCAGCGGGGGGGGCGUCCACGGCUUCUGAUUGGCUGCAGGAUCGGCCUGCAGCCAAUCAGAAGCCACGCUUUGGUUUCUGAAUGUUUUGGAAGUCGUACGGAUUCCGUUCAACUUUCGAGGUACGACUGUACAUUCAUCUGAUUAUUCUGUGUUCAAGUGGAAAUUUUGGUUGGCUAGUAAAACUUGCAUCAUUUAGCUACUGAAUGUGAUAUGUGAUAUGGAACAGGAAUCAUUUCAGCAAUGAGAUACUAUCAAAAGUAACUGACUGAAAUAUAAACCUACCCAAAUUUUGGUAUACCUUUUUGUAUGCUAAAAGACUGAUACCCUGCUUCUUGUUUUAGGUACAGUUAACAAUGAAGUAAUUCCAAUGAAUUACUGACACAUUUAGAGAUCAGUCAUGUUAUGAACAUUUUAGUUGGGCCUUCUAGCAUUCAUUGAUACUUUCUUAUGAAAAAUCCCUAAAAGCUAUUUAGCCACAAUAAUAUGUAAAUUAAUGUUGGCAUUUAAAAAAAUAAUUUUGGAGUGAAUGAGCCUGAUAGGAUUCUUUUUGUAACAACUACUGAAAUGUCAUCUAUUUGCAUCUAUUUAACUAUUGGCUUUCCCCUUAGAGGCCUUCUAAAUGAAUGUUUUAACUUAGUGUGUCUAUCUGACAUGUACGGCUGUUUGAUGUCAGAUUGUUAAAGCUGACGAUGAAACAUUUUCAGACUUAAUUUGCAGAAGGUGAAUUCCACUUUGUGAGGUGGUUUGAACUGAAUGUUGGAUACAAAAUGUGACUACCACUUGGUGGCAGUGCCUUGCUUCAAGACACAAGUCUUCAUUAACAUUUUAAUUCUGGAACUGAGUGAUUUGUGCAAGGGGGAGUUAGAUGUAGGUUAAAAUAAAACCAAUAUAUAUGUUAAAAGUGCAGAAUUCUGUGAAUUCAGAGAUGGCCUUGAACAUGUAGCAUCAUGGCCACACACAUACACAAACCCCAGUUCUAGCUAUAAUGGAAUUUGUGGCUUAUCUGACUUGGUAGUCCACCUCGUAUGCUUUCCAGGUGUGGUAUCUGACUAAAUAGAACUAUCUGAAGAAACAGCACCCCACCCCCCUGCUGCCCAGAACUGCCAUGAUAAGGAACUGGUUCAUGUUCCACAAAGACUUAAUAAUCAGCAUGGUCAUUUCUGCUAGUGCUUUACUAUCAUUAGAUGGACAAGUUUUUGGAAGUUGCUUAGAGGUGUGUUUUUUAAAGAAAUAUAACAAUCAAGUAGUAUAUAACUUUUUAAAAAUAAAUGAAUUAAAUAAAAUUGGGAAGCAUGUAGUCUGGGUAUGUCUGGCAAAUGAGGCUUAAAAGUAACCUACCAGAACAUUCCUACCUCUUUUUCUGAUUUUCCAUUUCUGAUUAAACGUUUAGAGAGAAAUCGUUAUUUGCAUAUGCAGGAAGUUUGGGUUGUUUGCAUCUGCAGGAAGGGCUGCUUUCCUAGUGGUAACAGGCAAAAUCACAUCUGCAAUAAGUUUUCAGUACCCCUCCCUCCUUUGGGAAGCCAGUUUGUGAUCAGUAUUGUAGUACAGCACUAACUAAAAGCAGUUCUCAUGUUCUUUUCCCCUAUUCUUUGCAGUGGCUGUUUCACAAGAAACAUUUAAUUUGGACAUGGCGGUAGUAGAACUGAUAAGUCCAUAAAAGUUAUAAGCAUUCCCUACCACCACCAAAAUAACCCCCACCUACUUGUCUGUUGAGGGAUCACAAAGAUACUUCACAUUUUCCCCUUGCCUGUUGCUGAUUAGCACCAACAUUUAGCAUCUUUGGGCAGCUGUCAGGGUUGCAGCAUGCCGGCAGGGUUUUAUAAUUCUGCAUGCUCUGCCCUCUGACUGAGAAGAACUUGGUGGCUGGGUCAAGCUACUAGUAAAAUUUCUCACAGCACCUCUAUGUAGCAUCAGUCUGGGACUAUGUGGAAAUCUAAAAUGGCAGCCUAGCCAAUCAAC
rnacentral:lncRNA from 1 species